GACAGAGGGUGCAAACGUUGUUCGGAAUUACUGGGCGUAAAGCGCGUGUAGGCGGCUAAGUAAGUCGGGCGUGAAAUCCCACGGCUCAACCGUGGAAGUGCACUCGAAACUGCAUAGCUAGAGUCCUGGAGAGGAAGGUGGAAUGCGUUGGUGUAGAGGUGAAAUUCGUAGAUAUCAAGCGGAACACCGGUGGCGAAGGCGGGUCUCUGGGCAGUAACUGACGCUGAGG
rnacentral:rRNA from 1 species